UACAGAGGGGGCGAGCGUUGUUCGGAAUUACUGGGCGUAAAGGGCGCGUAGGCGGCCUUCUAAGUCGAACGUGAAAUCCCCGGGCUCAACCCGGGAACUGCGUCCGAUACUGGAAGGCUUGAAUCCGGGAGAGGGAUGCGGAAUUCCAGGUGUAGCGGUGAAAUGCGUAGAUAUCUGGAGGAACACCGGUGGCGAAGGCGGCAUCCUGGACCGGCAUUGACGCUGAGGCGCGAAAAGCCAGGGGAGCAAACGGG
rnacentral:rRNA from 1 species